GGUGAACGCUGGCGGCAUGCCUUACACAUGCAAGUCGAACGGCAGCACGGGAGCAAUCCUGGUGGCGAGUGGCGAACGGGUGAGUAAUGUAUCGGAACGUGCCCAGUCGUGGGGGAUAACGUAGCGAAAGCUACGCUAAUACCGCAUACGAUCUAUGGAUGAAAGCGGGGGAUCGCAAGACCUCGCGCGAUUGGAGCGGCCGAUAUCAGAUUAGGUAGUUGGUGGGGUAAAGGCCUACCAAGCCUGCGAUCUGUAGCUGGUCUGAGAGGACGACCAGCCACACUGGAACUGAGACACGGUCCAGACUCCUACGGGAGGCAGCAGUGGGGAAUUUUGGACAAUGGGCGCAAGCCUGAUCCAGCAAUGCCGCGUGCAGGAUGAAGGCCUUCGGGUUGUAAACUGCUUUUGUACGGAGCGAAAAGGCUCUCUCUAAUACAGGGGGCUCAUGACGGUACCGUAAGAAUAAGCACCGGCUAACUACGUGCCAGCCGCCGCCGUAA
rnacentral:rRNA from 1 species